GAUGAACGCUAGCUACAGGCUUAACACAUGCAAGUCGAGGGGUAACGAGAGGAAAGCUUGCUUUCCUUGUCGACGACCGGCGCACGGGUGAGUAACGCGUAUCCAACCUGCCCCCAACUAGGGAAUAACCUUGCGAAAGUAAGACUAAUACCCUAUAAUUUCCUCAGAUGUCAUCUGACGAGGAAUAAAGAUUUAUCGGUUGUGGAUGGGGAUGCGUCUGAUCAGCUUGUUGGCGGGGUAACGGCCCACCAAGGCAACGAUCAGUAGGGGUUCUGAGAGGAAGGUCCCCCACAUUGGAACUGAGACACGGUCCAAACUCCUACGGGAGGCAGCAGUGAGGAAUAUUGGUCUAUGGGCGGAAGCCUGAACCAGCCAAGUAGCGUGCAGGAUGACGGCCCUAUGGGUUGUAAACUGCUUUUAUACAGGAAUAAAGUUAGCCACGUGUGGUUAUUUGUAGGUACUGUAUGAAUAAGGACCGGCUAAUUCCGUGCCAGCAGCCGCCGUAA
rnacentral:rRNA from 1 species